UUGCUAGAGAUGAUUAGUGGCGGACGGGUGAGUAACAUUUAGGAAUCUGCCUAGUAGUGGGGGAUAGCUCGGGGAAACUCGAAUUAAUACCGCAUACGACCUACGGGUGAAAGGGGGCGCAAGCUCUUGCUAUUAGAUGAGCCUAAAUCAGAUUAGCUAGUUGGUGGGGUAAAGGCCCACCAAGGCGACGAUCUGUAACUGGUCUGAGAGGAUGAUCAGUCACACCGGAACUGAGACACGGUCCGGACUCC
rnacentral:rRNA from 2 species